UACGUAGGGGGCAAGCGUUGUCCGGAAUCAUUGGGCGUAAAGAGCGUGUAGGCGGUCUGUCACGUCUGCCGUGAAAACCCGAGGCUUAACCUCGUGGCUUGCGGUGGAUACGGGCAGACUAGAGGUAGGUAGGGGAGAACGGAAUUCCCGGUGUAGCGGUGAAAUGCGCAGAUAUCGGGAGGAACACCGGUGGCGAAGGCGGUUCUCUGGGCCUUACCUGACGCUGAGGAGCGAAAGCAUGGGGAGCGAACAGG
rnacentral:rRNA from 1 species